rnacentral:rRNA from 1 species
GGCGGUGUUUGGCACCUCGAUGUCGGCUCAUCACAUCCUGGGGCUGUAGCCGGUCCCAAGGGUAUGGCUGUUCGCCAUUUAAAGUGGUACGCGAGCUGGGUUCAGAACGUCGUGAGACAGUUCGGUCCCUAUCUGUCGUGGGCGUUGGAUGUUUGAGAGGGGCUGCUCCUAGUACGAGAGGACCGGAGUGGACGAACCCCUGGUGUUCCGGUUGUCACGCCAGUGGCACUGCCGGGUAGCUAUGUUCGGAAGCGAUAACCGCUGAAAGCAUCUAAGCGGGAAGCGCGCCUCAAGAUGAGACAUCCCGGAGCGCAAGCUCCCUGAAGGAACCAUCAAGACUAGGUGGUUGAUAGGUCGGGUGUGUAUCGCCGCAAGGCCGAGCUAACCGAUACUAAUGAUCCGUGCGGCUUGAUCAU